rnacentral:rRNA from 1 species
UGCGGGGCGAAUAUUCGCGACAAUAGACGCGAAAGCCUGAUCCAGCAAUGCCGCGUGAGUGAUGAAGGCCUUAGGGUUGUAAAGCUCUUUUACCAGGGAUGAUAAUGACAGUACCUGGAGAAUAAGCUCCGGCUAACUCCGUGCCAGCAGCCGCGGUAAUACGGAGGGAGCUAGCGUUGUUCGGAAUUACUGGGCGUAAAGCGCACGUAGGCGGCUACUCAAGUCAGAGGUGAAAGCCCAGGGCUCAACCCUGGAACUGCCUUUGAAACUAGGUAGCUAGAAUCUUGGAGAGGUCAGUGGAAUUCCGAGUGUAGAGGUGAAAUUCGUAGAUAUUCGGAAGAACACCAGUGGCGAAGGCGACUGACUGGACAAGUAUUGACGCUGAGGUGCGAAAGCGUGGGGAGCAAACAGGAUUAGAUACCCCUGGUAGA